rnacentral:rRNA from 1 species
CCCUUCGGGAGCCCAAGACAGGUGCUGCAUGGCUGUCGUCAGCUCGUGUCGUGAGAUGUUGGGUUAAGUCCCGCAACGAGCGCAACCCUUGUCUCUAGUUACCAUCAUUUGGUUGGGGACUCUAGAGAUACUGCCCCGGUUAACGGGGAGGAAGGUGGGGAUGACGUCAAGUCCUCAUGGCCCUUAUGCCCAGGGCUACACACGUGCUACAAUGGGCGGUACAAAGGGUAGCGAUGCCGCGAGGUGAAGCCAAUCCCAAAAAGCCGUCCACAGUUCGGAUUGGAGUCUGCAACUCGACUCCAUGAAGCCGGAAUCGCUAGUAAUCGUGGAUCAGCAUGCCACGGUGAAUACGUUCCCGGGCCUU